AGCUCCAAUAGCGUAUAUUUAAGUUGUUGCAGUUAAAAAGCUCGUAGUUGGAUUUCGGACGGAGCCCGCCGGUCCACCUUUGGUGAGCACUGGCGUGGGUUCGUCUCGCUGUCGGGGACGGGCUGCUGGGCUUCACUGUCCGGCACCCGGAGUCGACGACGUCACUUUGAGUAAAUUAGAGUGUUCAAAGCAGGCCUACGCUCUGAAUACGUUAGCAUGGAAUGACACGAUAGGACUCUGGCUUAUCCUGUUGGUCUGUGAGACCGGAGUAAUGAUUAAGAGGGACAGUCGGGGGCAUUCGUAUUUCAUUGUCAGAGGUGAAAUUCUUGGAUUUAUGAAAGACGAACUUCUGCGAAAGCAUUUGCCAAGGAUGUUUUCA
rnacentral:rRNA from 1 species